UCGUUCUUGGAAUAAAAAAUCUGAAUCCAAAUUUCAAAUUUAAAUUAUGGCAAUACGUGUAGAUUUAAUUCCUUCUUGGGAAAUGUUUAGGCGUGUUUACCGAAGAGGCCAGUGGCGUUACCUCUAUCCUUUCUUGUUUUUGAGGUUGAUCUGAAUCUUCCCUCCCGGAGUCCCACCUAGCCUUGUCUUCUUGCUCCAUUCUGUAAAAGACAAACCCUAAAAAAUUAAAGGGCGAGAAAGCAGAGAGCUAGGGAGAAACCCAAAAACCUAAACCAAAAGAAAAGAGUGAGGCAGAGAGAAAAGUGAGUGCAGGUGAGUUCACUCUCCCGGGGCUGGUGCACGUUUGCACCACCACAUGAUGCGGCUGCCCUCGUUUGUUUGCAGAAAAAUAUUCUUUCUUUUAAAAAGUGGAUUGUUUGAAAAUUAACUCUUAAAAUUUAAAUUAUUUUUUUAAUAUCUAACGUCAUGGAAAAUAAUUUCUAAUAAAAUGGAUUAUUUUUAAAUAUUUUCCUGCCCCCCUCUCUUUCCCGAGCACUUCAGCCUAUCUAUCUACUUUCCUGCUAUAGAAAGGUGAAGUUUUUGUGGUAUGUUAUUAUUUUGGGUUUUCCAUCACCAUGGAUUCUUAUGAAGCUGCUAACAUGGUGUUUUCAAGGAUCCAAAACUUGGAACCUGAAAAUGCCUCAAAAAUCAUGGGCUACCUUCUCUUGCAAGACUAUGGAGAGAAAGAGAUGAUACGUUUUGCCUUUGGACCAGAGACCCUUCUGCACAAUCUCAUUCUCUAUGCCAAAACCCAACUGGGAUUUCUCUCAAACAAAACCUCUUCUUCACCUUUUAUUCCUUCCUCCAGACCCAGUCCCUUGUCCAUCCCCUCUUCAAGAAUCACAAACAAUAAUGGCUUUGAAAUCACAAACCCCUCUUCUCCCUCUACAAACUCUUGGCAUUUUUCGACUCCCAACUCCACUUCUCCACUCUCUUAUGCCAGUGUUGUUAAUGGAGCCAGUAGUAUUAAUGCUAGUUCAACACCUUUUCAGCCCACCGUCUCGUUAUCUAAUGCGUUUCCUUACAGCAAUAACAAUAGUAGUGCCAGUGAUCUUGUUGAUGAAUAUGAACUCCAGGAUCGCUUUUCCUUUCUCAAUGAUUCAAAGACAGAUGGUUUAUUUGAUCCAAGGGCAGAGUUAGCCACGAGUCCAACUGAAUAUGGUGAUAACGGCUCGCACAAGCGAAGUUUUUCAGUACCAGACACGUGUGUUGGUUCGGAAGAUUCAAACUCCGGGUUUGGUUGGAAGCCUUGCUUAUAUUUUUCGAGAGGGUUUUGCAAAAAUGGUUCAGGUUGCAGGUUUGUUCAUGGAGAUUCAGCUGAUACUGCUGCCAUUGUUGGUUCACCAGGUGAACUCUACGAGUUUGAACAGUGUCUACAAAUUCUCAGGUCAAAGGCUGCUGCCCAGCAAAAGAAGCUAGCAGCAGCCUCCCAGUUCAUGGCUGGAGCUAAUUUUUUAUCUCACAAUAAAAGCUUGGACUUCCAUCAUCAGCAACAAAAUGACAGCCAAAGAUCAGCUGCGGUAGCUGCAUUGAUGAUGGGGGAUGAGCUUCACAAGUAUGGAAGAAUCCGGCCUGGAAGGAAUGAUUUUUCGCAAAUUGGACUGGGAGGGGCAACGAGCCCAAGUUCAAGACAGAUCUAUUUGACAUUCCCAGCUGAUAGUACGUUCAGAGAAGAAGACGUUUCAAAUUAUUUUAGCAUUUACGGGCCCGUGCAAGAUGUGAGGAUCCCAUACCAGCAGAAGAGAAUGUUUGGAUUUGUUACAUUUGUGUUUGCAGAGACAGCGAGGCUUAUUUUGGCAAAAGGGAACCCGCAUUUUGUAUGUGAUUCCCGUGUGCUUGUUAAGCCUUACAAGGAGAAGGGAAAAGUCCCAGACAAGAAGCAUCAUCAACAGCAACAGAUUGAGAGGGAAGAGUAUUCAGCUUGUCCAAGCCCAUCCAGGAUCAAUUCUAGAGAGGCAUUUGAUCUCCAUAUUGGAGCUAGAAUGUUAUACAAUACUCAAGAGAUGCUGAGCAGGAAAUUAAAGGAAGAGGCUGAUUUCCAGCAAGCUAUUGAAUCCCAAGGGAGAAGGCUAUUGAAUCUGCAACUUCUAGACUUGAAAAAUAACAAUCAUCAACAUCAACAUCAACAUCGAUACCUUCAUGGUUUGUUAACUGGGUCUCCGCCUACACCAACUAUCCUGCAGAGUCCCAACAAUCAAACUCCCUUUUUUCCUGUUGAUGACAUUGAUCAAGAUGUUCCUCGAGGUAAUGGUGGCAACCCUGAUGCCGCAGUUGCUCAAAAUGCUGUUUCAGAUGUUGACAAGGAAGGGGGUCCAGCUUGCGAUCACAAUGAUGGCAAUAGCAAUCAUAGAGAUAAAGAGGAGAAGUUCAACAAUGAAGAAACCUAUCUCCAUGAAAAUUUGGAGCAUAUUCUCCCAGACAAUCUCUUUGCUUCUCCUAAGAAAUCAGCUGGUGACCCCUUCACUGUCUUCUCCGCAGCUUCCGUGGAGGCUGAUGAAAAUACCACAAGCACUACAUCAUCUUCUCUCAACAUGACCUCUCUUAAAUCAUGUUCUCUCCAAAAGCCCAGGUUGUCUUCUGGGCCUGGAACCGCUGGUACAUAGGGGGCAAAAGUGAGCGUGGCCAGCAGUGGAGAGAUUUGACAAUUUUUUAGGAUAUAUUGGAAGCACAUACAGAAGUAAAAGAAAUCCUCUAGCUUGUAUUAGCCAAAAAACUAUAGCCACGACAAAGAAAAGGAUCUGCUGACCAGAUCUCAGCAAAGAUCACCAUCGUCAUUAAAACACACUACUUACAACGAAUACAUAAAAGCAUACAUAACAGAUGAACUGCAAGGGAGCGGGGGUCCCUCUCUGCGGGUAUGUACGUGCUGGGGGACCGCUCAACAAUUGCAUUGCAGAACAAACAAAAGUCCAGUAGUGAAUCCCUUAUUUGUAAUUCAAGUGCUUUUCUUUAUUUUGUUUUUAGUAUGAGGUGAAAAGAAAUAGAAAUUAAGACUGUAUGGAAGAAAAAUAGUACUUCUUACGUCACUGUGUACAGAAAUAGACCCCAGUAAGUUAAGAAGAUCUGUAGCAGCAGAAGUACAACCACUAGACACCCAAGGCAGACCAGACCUUAAAAGGUUAAGAAAUGCAAUGGCUCAAGUGGAGUGCAAGAGCUGUGCUUUUACUGUCACAGUGUCCUGUGCCCCCCAUUAGAUUACAGAACAGAUAGAGCUAUAUUUCUGGGGGAAAAAAUAUAGUCGAGGGUAAAUAAAAGAUUGUUCUUUCAUGUGAAUAAAAGAAACCACAAAAUAAACAAAGGAUUCCCUUCCUUUUUGUCUCA